CUUUUGCGCUUCUGCCCUGGCCCUCUGCUGGCCACUCCGCCGGUGCUGUGCCUGGGCGCCUCCGUGCUCUCGGCCAACUGCCUCUGAGAGCGCCCACUUGAGCGCCCUGGGAGCCGGAGGGCGGCGGUCCUCACCGGGACCCUCCUGUGGGCGGAGGGGGACAAAAGUGUCUCUCAAUCCAGCACAUGCACAUUGAAGCAAGUUAAAGGAUUUAAUAUGAAGCACAGAAGCCGACAGUGCCAAACAGCAAGCAGUAGUUGGUACACAUUUGGUGAGUGGGGCAGCAUUUCCUUCUCCCACUGCUGCUGAGAUGGCAGAAAUUAGUCGAAUUCGUACGAAAUGGAAUAUACUGAAGGCAUUAGUCAGCGAAUGAGGGUCCCAGAAAAGUUAAAAGUAGCACCGCCAAACGCCAACCUGGAACAGGGAUUCCAAAAAGGAGUUCCAAAUGCUAGCGUGAUAAUAAUGCAAGUUCCAGAGAGGAUUGUUGUAGCAGGAAAUAAUGAGGAUGUUUCAUUUUCAAGACCAGCAGAUCUUGACCUUAUUCAGUCAACUCCCUUUAAACUCCUCGCACUAAAAACAGCACCUCGUGUACUUAGGCUAAGUGAAAGACCACUAGAUUUUCUGGAUUUAGAAAGACCUCCUACAACCCCUCAAAAUGAAGAAAUCCGUGCAGUUGGCCGACUAAAAAGAGAGCGGUCUACGAGUGAAACUGCUGUUCGCCAAAAUGGACAGCUGGUCAGAAAUGAUUCUCUUUAUGGCAUUUCAAAUACAGAUACAACAAUUGAAGGAACAUCAGAUGACCUGACUGUUGUAGAUGCAGCUUCACUAAGACGACAGAUAAUCAAACUAAAUAGACGUCUACAACUUCCGGACGAGGAGAACAAAGAACGUGCUAAAAGAGAAAUGGUCGUGUAUUCAAUUACUGUAGCUUUCUGGCUGCUUAAUAGCUGGCUCUGGUUUUGCCGCUAGAGGUAACAUCAGCUCUCAAAAAUAUUAUCUCAACAGCUGGAAAUAUAAAAGAUUUGCAAACUUCUUUGUUUCUGUCUCUUCAUUGUACGCCAUUUUAUAGUCCACAACCUGAAAAUAUAUUUCUUCCAGAAACUCUGGAGGUAACACCUGCUUAAAAUUCUCCUUUUGCAUGUUUUGUAAAUAGGCUCCAGUUUUGUUUUUUAAAAGGAAUUCAUCUUUUGCCUCAUCGGUCCACACAACUGAUUCUGAAUGGGAGAGAGUCUGUAGAGAAUUGAUUUAGAAAAAUGUCUGUGAAAGAAAAACAAUUAUUUUGUCGUGUUUCUCAAACACUGUAAGCAGUUUUGUUAAUAGACAUUUUUCCAUCAACACUUCAACAUUAACACUUUCAAAGUCAUGGUCUGUUGCCAGAUUUGAGAAACUCGAACCACCUAAUAUUUCAUAACCUUCUUCAUUAGGUACUUGUACAGAUUAAUUUCUAACAUUUCAGCAGUUUAAUAUGUGUGCAAUAAGUGCAUUCUUUCAUUUUAGUUUUGUACUUGGUUUUCUAUAAAGUACGUUUUUACUCAGUUCAUGUGUGAACAAUUUUUAAAAACUACAGAAUAAGGUACAAAUGUAGUGUAUUUAAUAAACUGUCAACCAAAGCAAAAAAAA